rnacentral:rRNA from 1 species
ACGAACGCUGGCGGCGUGCUUAACACAUGCAAGUCGAACGAUGAAGCCCAGCUUGCUGGGUGGAUUAGUGGCGAACGGGUGAGUAACACGUGAGUAACCUGCCCUUGACUCUGGGAUAAGCGUUGGAAACGACGUCUAAUACCGGAUACGAGCUUCCACCGCAUGGUGAGUUGCUGGAAAGAAUUUUUGGUCAAGGAUGGACUCGCGGCCUAUCAGCUUGUUGGUGAGGUAACGGCUCACCAAGGCGACGACGGGUAGCCGGCCUGAGAGGGUGACCGGCCACACUGGGACUGAGACACGGCCCAGACUCCUACGGGAGGCAGCAGUGGGGAAUAUUGCACAAUGGGCGAAAGCCUGAAUGCAGCAACGCCGCGUGAGGGACGACGGCCUUCGGGUUGUAAACCUCUUUUAGCAGGGAAGAAGCGAAAGUGACGGUACCUGCAGAAAAGCACCGGCUAACUACGUGCCAGCCGCCGC